GGCACUGUGGCGGAGUGGUUAACGCGACAGAUUAGAAUCUGGUACGUAAUUGCAUAAUGGGUUCAUCUGUUCCUCUUGUAGGGCGCAUGUUCGAAUCAUGCCAGUCUCG